rnacentral:rRNA from 1 species
AUGCAGCCCCCCAAACCAAGACCACGCAAGCCCUCGCAGACGCCCAUCAACGAUCUCCUGGAAGAAUUCAGCGACGUGUUCACCGCACCCACCGGCUUGCCUCCCCACAGGCAGUAUGAUCACGCGGUCACAUUGGAAGAUGGAGCCCAGCCAACAAACACACGGCCCUACCGCUACUCUCCAUUGCAAAAGGACGAGAUUGAGCGGCAGGUCAAAGAAAUGCUCGACGCCGGUGUGAUCACGCACUCGGUCAGUCCAUACGCGGCGCCAGUUUUGCUUGUGAAGAAGAAGGAUGGCACCUGGCGAUUCUGCGUGGAUUACAGGCGUCUCAAUGACGUGACCGUGAAGAACAAGUUUCCCUUGCCCGUCGUCGACGAGCUACUCGAUGAACUUGCCGGAGCGGCUUUCUUCUCCAAGCUUGACCUGCGCGCAGGCUACCAUCAAAUUCGCAUGCGCGAACAGGAUGAACACAAGACAUCAUUCAAAACUCACCACGGCCAUUUCCAAUUCAGAGUCAUGCCAUUCGGGUUGACAAAUGCUCCGGCCACGUUCCAAUGCCUGAUGAACGCUAUCUUCGCCAAGUAUACCCGUAAGUUUGUCAUCAUUUUUCUUGACGACAUCCUUGUUUUCAGUGAGACACUCGAGGACCAUUUGGAACAUCUCCGCAUCGUCCUCAACUUGCUCCGCGAGCACCAGCUAUAUGCCAAGAUGUCCAAGUGCUCGUUCGCGCAAGAUCACAUUGAUUAUCUGGGUCACGUCAUCUCCAAGCAGGGCGUGGCGACUGAUGCUGAGAAGACCGACGCCAUGGCGCAGUGGCCUACUCCAACCAACGCCACCGAGCUCCGUGGCUUUCUGGGGCUCACCGGCUAUUACCGCAAGUUCGUUCCCCACUACGGGAUCAUUGCCAAGCCGCUAACCCAGCAGCUCACCAAGAAAGGCUUUGCAUGGCCCGAGUCGGCGCAGCUCGCGUUCGACACGCUCAAGAAGGCGAUGGUGACCACGCCGGUGCUCGCCCUUCCUGACUUCGACAAGCCAUUCUCCAUCAAAACCGACGCCUGCUACACCGGCAUCGGUGCCGUGCUCGUCCAAGACGGCCACCCCAUCGCAUACUACAACAAGGCGUUGGGCGUGAAGAACCAGAAGCUCUCCACCUACGAGAAAGAGUUCUUGGCCGUCAUGAUGGCCGUGGACAAAUGGCGCUCUUACCUGCAACGCGGGCCGUUCACCAUUGUCACGGACCACAAAAGCUUAUGCACGCUUGGGGACCAGCAUCUGGUGACCGAUGUCCAGCGCCGCGCCAUGUCCAAAUUGGUCGGCCUCCAAUUCAAGUUCCAGUACAAGAAGGGCGUCGACAACAGCGCGGCGGAUGCUCUCUCUCGCGUGGGCAGUCACUACAGCGCCAAUGCUCUGUCCCUCUGCCAGCCAACAUGGAUUCAGGAAGUGGCCAAUUUGUAUGCCACGGAUCCAGAUGCCCAGGAAAAGAUUCAGCAGCUCGCGCUGCACAGUCCGGACGACGAGGAGUACGAGCUGUACCGUGGAGUCAUUCGCCGUCGCGGGCGGCUGUGGAUCGGCGCAAACACAGCCCUGCGCACCAAACUGAUCAGCGCUCUGCAUGACAGUGCCGUGGGGGGCCAUUCUGGCUCGACAGCAACUUACCACCGUGUCAAGAAGCUGUUUGAGUGGAAGGGUCUGAAACAUGAUGUUGAAGAUUAUGUGCGGCAGUGCCAGAUUUGUCAACAGGCGAAGCAUGAAUUGCAUAAACCAGCAGGCAAGUUGGCACCCCUGCCCAUUCCGACAGCCCCGUGGCGUGAUCUGACAAUGGACUUCGUCGAGGGCUUGCCCAAGUCCGAAGGGUAUGACACAAUCAUGGUGGUUGUCGACCGCUUCACCAAGCUUGCACACUUUGUGCCCCUGCGACACCCAUUCACGGCGACACGAGUGGCAAGAGUGUUCUGGGACAACAUCGUCAAGCUGCACGGCAUCCCCUCCUCCAUCGUCUCCGACCGCGACAAAGUGUUCACCAGCGUGCUUUGGCGGGAACUGCUAGCCAGCGCGGGCACCAAGCUCCUCUACUCCACUGCCUAUCACCCCCAGACGGACGGACAAAGCGAGCGCGUGAACCAGUGCAUGGAGAUGUACUUGCGCUGCGCUGUUCACGACACUCCCACGCAAUGGUGUCGCUGGCUGCCCUCUGCAGAAUUCUGGUACAACUCCUCUUUCCACUCUUCUCUGGGUUGCUCUCCGUUCAAGGCUCUGUAUGGGGUGGAUGCCAACGAGGGCAGCAUGGCAACAUGGCCGGCAACACAAGCAUCAUUGCCGGAAGGGGAGCAGUGGGAUUGGGCACUGCACAAGGAACACUUGCAGGCACAGUUGACCCGGGCGCAACAGAAGUACAAAAAGUUUGCAGACAGAAACCGCACUGAGCGCGUCUUUCAGGUUGGGGAGCAAGUACUGCUGAAACUGCAACCCUAUGUGCAGAAAUCGGUGGCCAGCCGCCCGUGCGCCAAGCUGGCGUUCAAGUUCUUCGGACCAUUCACCAUCAGCGCCAAAAUUGGUCCCUCGGCAUACAAGCUGGAGCUGCCGCCCGACAGUCGCAUUCACCCUGUGUUCCAUGUGUCCCAGCUGAAGCCGUUCACACCCAAUUACACACCAGUGUUCUCCGAACUGCCUGCAACCGUCGACUUAUCAGCAGUGGACUCUAACCCAGUUCAGAUUUUGGAUCGGAGGAUGAUGAAGAGAGGAGACGCACCAGUGGUUCAGGUGCAGGUGGCAUGGAACACAACUCCUCUGUCGACAACCUGGGAAGACUAUGAAGUUCUUCGACGUCGCUAUCCACAGUCACCAAUCUGGGAAGACAGUAACUCCGAAGAAGGGGCCGUUUCUCAAGGCGGGGAGAAUGUCACCCCGGUGCUGCAUACCACCGUGUGA